AGAGAUUUUUGGCAAGAAGGCAAGCAAGUCAAAACUGUGGGCAGAGGGAGAUUACGGUUAGAGAGAAGAGAAGCCUUACUUGGUGGGUGGAGUGUAAACAGCUCUGGUGAAUGGCCAGAUGAGUGAGUAGGAUGACUAGUUUUUCCAGAGAGCCACAAGAGACGGUGCCAGGAGGACAGCCAGGUGGAGGUGGUGAAUGAUACAAACCUGAGUGGUGAAGUGCGGUGUGGUGAUGAAACAGGAGCCUUGCCGUGGAGACCAGCGUCCAGAAGAUCCUGAGCUGCAGAUCAGGAACAAGUGAAAUGAUCAGGUGGCAUGAUGAGGGCAGAUACCGGGGAACACAGGGAGGGCACAGGAAAAACGCUGGAGCUCACCCGGACUAUGACACCCGGACCGUCACACUACCACCACCAUGUUUGACUAUGAUGCCAAAGUGAAAGGAACUCACCAACCUGAUAAAACACUUUUGGGAUGAAUUAGAGUGGAGCCAGGCCUCUUGUCCCACAUCAGUGUCUGACCUCACACGUGGACGUCUGGAAGACUGUUAAAAUAUUCCCAUAAACACUCCUAAACCUUUUGAAAAGCCUUCCAAGAAGAGCUGCAAACGCUGAGCUGAAAUCAUAGGAAACCCUAUGAAUUCAUGUCAAGUUUUAUCUUUUAUGUUUUGUUCUUUUGAUUGUAAAUGUAUUUUUUUAUUCUGUUUUUCUUACUUAAAAAUCGUAGGUAUUUUGUAACACUGUAAAGGGGCUUUGUUUGUCAAAAGCAGGAAUGUGGACCUGACUUUGAAUAAACUACAGUGGAAGUGUAAUCACAGUGUGGCUGAUGCACUGCACCUUGAGAUUUUUUUGAAAAUGACAAAUUUUCUUAGUUAGAAAUUGUUCUAUGUUAUGUGAAUGAAAUAUGGUUCAUGAGAUUAUGAGUUUUUCCAUUUAGGUCACAAAUCUCUGUGUUUGCAACAGCUUUGUAAAAUCUUUUUGUGAUUUUUGUUUUUAGUGAACCUCUGUCCAUCUCUAAAAUGCUAUUCUCAU